GGCCAAGAGGAUAUCUAUGCAAGUAGCAGUUCCCUCAUCUGCCAUUUUCACUUGUUUUUCUUCAGAAAACAAACCUUUUCAAUUGAGUUGGGUUAAUUAUCACAAACACUUGAAGAACUCUCUGAAAAAUCUGCUUCUUCUUUUUUCCUGCUGUGAGAGAGGCUUAAUGUUAAACGUCCCCGUAUAUAUAGUAUAAAGGCAUCCACUGAAUAUGCCACGUGUAAGGUGGUGAGUUGGUGGGUAGUGUUCAC
rnacentral:misc_RNA from 1 species